rnacentral:rRNA from 1 species
GUUAUAGGGUCAAGCGAACAAGUGCAUGUGGUGGAUGCCUUGGCGAUCACAGGCGAUGAAGGACGCGGUAGCCUGCGAAAAGCUACGGGGAGCUGGCAAACAAGCUUUGAUCCGUAGAUGUCCGAAUGGGGAAACCCACUCCUUUUGGAGUAUCCAUGGCUGAAUACAUAGGCCAUGUGAAGCGAACGCGGUGAACUGAAACAUCUAAGUAACCGCAGGAAAAGAAAUCAACCGAGAUUCCCAAAGUAGUGGCGAGCGAAAUGGGAUGAGCCUUGCACUCUUUAUUUGUAUUGUUAGCCGAACGCUCUGGAAAGUGCGGCCAUAGCGGGUGAUAGCCCCGUAGGCGAAAACAGUAUGAAAGAACUAGGUGUGCGAAAAGUAGGGCGGGACACGUGAAAUCCUGUCUGAAGAUGGGGGGACCAUCCUCCAAGGCUAAAUACUCGUGAUCGACCGAUAGUGAACCAGUACCGUGAGGGAAAGGCGAAAAGAACCC